rnacentral:rRNA from 1 species
GACGGAGGAUGCAAGCGUUAUCCGGAUUUAUUGGGUUUAAAGGGUGCGUAGGCGGGGAUUUAAGUCAGUGGUGAAGUACUGCAGCUUAACUGUAGCACUGCCAUUGAUACUGAAUUUCUUGAGUGCGGUUGAAGUAGGCGGAAUGUGUAAUGUAGCGGUGAAAUGCUUAGAGAUUACACAGAACACCGAUUGCGUAGGCAGCUUACUAAGCCGUAACUGACGCUGAGGCACGAAAGUGUGGGGAUCGAACAGG